UUAGUAAUGUUGUUAUAAUAAUGUAAGAAAUCAAUAAUGUAGUUAAUUGCUGGAUCAAAAUUCAAAAAUGUUGGGCCCGUGCUUAGCAUGGGCCAUCACCGAUCUAGCUUAUUUAGAAAUGAGACUUGGGUUGGACGAACACGGCAGCAGAUAGUAGACCAAAUGUUACGGGAGAUGUAUUAUCUACAAUUUAACUUUUUUAAGCUUUUGCCUUCUCACACAGACACGUGUAUUUGCACUUAAAUUAUAAUGUUUUGUUUCUUUUUGGACAUUUUGCCUACCUUUUCAAUUUUUGUUUCCAAGUCUCUUUUUUCAGUCUUUUUCCUGCUUUCACUUACAUCUUCUCUCUUCUUUGUUUAUUAAUGCUCUCUGCAAAUUACAAACUACAAAAAUUUUGAGAUUCAGGCAAUUCUUUGCAGGCAAAACUCUUCGUGAUUUGGUUCAUCUGGUUGAAAGUUAUGUCUUUCACACGCUAAAGAUGCUUUCGAGUACUAUUAACAAGCUUAUGUUCUUGCUCUCAAGUUUCAAGGGUGUUUGACUGUUUGUGUUCUUACUGCCGAUGUUUUCAAGCAAUAGCUUAUAGGUAUUAAUGAUAAUGAUGUCUAUGGAAGGUGAUGGAUCCUAAUUGUCGCAAAUUUUUGCUCGAUAGUUUAUGUUUCAUCAUAUAACCAAAGUACUUGUACAUUCAAUAAGAUAUUUUGGUUGAAGAAUAGUGUUGACUACUAAUGACCUAUGUCAGAGUAGAGAGAAAAUGUAAUAGCACAUUUGAUGAUAUGUAGUAUAUACAUUUGAUUUAUGGAUGAUCUUUAUGUACUUUGUUAUAAUAUAUAAAAUUCCCGAAUCAGACACAUAUUGUACAGAACUAUCGGUUAUUA